GUGUAGCUCAGUGGUAGAGUUCUUAUCUAGUACACUUGAGGCUCUGGGUUCAAACCCCAGCAC
rnacentral:tRNA from 1 species